CCGUUGAUUCCGGAAUUUGUUUCUGUUCUUUAUUCUCCUUCUUUUUGAGCAAUUCCCCAAAGGAGAGGGGGGAGUGGCCAAUUUGUUCCAACCGUAUAAGACUGAUAGGACCUCCUUCUUGCUGCGCUGUCACUCCAGUUCCGCUUCCCCAAACAUGACUUAAGUGCCAACCCACACCACGGAUGAUAGGCUCCUGGAGAUGUUGUUAGUCCAUCACUGGUUGUCCAAUAUGCAGUAAAUUAGCAUUUACUUGUUUAAACAAGAAAAAGCCAGCAGGCUUGUUCAGGGCAAAAGCCAGUCAUUCUAAGAGGGUCAAAUAAUACUCUUCAGGGUGAGCCCUGGAGAUCCUGUCCCCACAGUGGGGCCCAAAGUCAGGAGGCUAAUGUGCAGCACCAUCACCAGCAUCAUCAGAAGGAACAAGAGCUGUCUCUCCCGUGAUGUUUAACAACAGGGGCAAUUUGAAUGCUGCUUCAAUUCUGGCCUGUGUCUUAUCAACCUGAGAAAUUACUAAACCAGAGAGACUUGAAACCAGACAGCCGCUGCAUGACGUCAUCAUCCUUCACAGGGGCCACGAUCCGCCUAGGCCCAGGGGAGGUCACAAGGGCAGGACAUACCUUCUGUGCUGGCAGUCAGUCCUCCUCUCAGCAUCCUGAGCCUCCCGGGGCCUCCUCGCCAACUCCCCAGGAUUUGCACACCUUCUGAGGAAAUGGUCACGGAAAUCAAAGGGGCUUUGGUUUUAUGAUGAUGAUUUGGAUCAAGACAUCCCCGGUGGCACUUCCUGCUGAGGCAGGAAAUGAAGUCAGAGAUGAGGGAGUGAAGACCGAGGGCUUCCUCCCAACCUACCACUUUGUCAUUUCUUAAGCACUUAGUACCUGCCCAGGGUACUGAGGGGAAGGGAGAGAGGUGGCCCACUGAGGGGAAGGGAGAGAGGUGGCCCACAGGAAGGGCUUAUUCCCACUUAGAAGGAGGGGGAGAAAGGAGAGCCUCCAAAAGAGAGUGGCCAUUUUACCUUGUUCCCGCCCCCUCCUGUCUGCCUUCCUGUCAGUGCUUUUGUUAUUCCUGACACUGGGACUAAGAAGAGUGGCAAGUGUCAUUUAUUGAA